rnacentral:rRNA from 1 species
GAUGACGGCCUUCGGGUUGUAAACCUCUUUUAGUAGGGAAGAAGCGAGAGUGACGGUACCUGCAGAAAAAGCACCGGCUAACUACGUGCCAGCAGCCGCGGUAAUACGUAGGGUGCGAGCGUUGUCCGGAAUUAUUGGGCGUAAAGAGCUCGUAGGCGGUCUGUCGCGUCUGCUGUGAAAUCCCGAGGCUCAACCUCGGGCGUGCAGUGGGUACGGGCAGACUAGAGUGCGGUAGGGGAGAAUGGAACUCCUGGUGUAGCGGUGGAAUGCGCAGAUAUCAGGAAGAACACCGAUGGCGAAGGCAGUUCUCUGGGCCGUAACUGACGCUGAGGAGCGAAAGCGUGGGGAGCGAACAGGAUUAGAUACCCUGGUAGUCCACGCCGUAAACGUUGGGCGCUAGAUGUGGGGACCAUUCCACGGUUUCCGUGUCGUAGCUAACGCAUUAAGCGCCCCGCCUGGGGAGUACGGCCGCAAGGCUAAAACUCAAAGGAAUUGACGGGGGCCCGCACAAGCGGCGGAGCAUGCGGAUUAAUUCGAUGCAACGCGAAGAACCUUACCAAGGCUUGACAUACACCGGUAAAGGCUGGAAACAGUCUCCCCCUUGUGGUCGGUGUACAGGUGGUGCAUGGUUGUCGUCAGCUCGUGUCGUGAGAUGUUGGGUUAAGUCCCGCAACGAGCGCAACCCUCGUUCUAUGUUGCCAGCACGUAAUGGUGGGAACUCAUAGGAGACUGCCGGGGUCAACUCGGAGGAAGGUGGGGAUGACGUCAAAUCAUCAUGCCCCUUAUGUCUUGGGCUUCACGCAUGCUACAAUGGCCGGUACAAAGGGCUGCGAUGCUGUAAAGCGGAGCGAAUCCCAAAAAGCCGGUCUCAGUUCGGAUUGAGGUCUGCAACUCGACCUCAUGAAGUCGGAGUCGCUAGUAAUCGCAGAUCAGCAACGCUGCGGUGAAUACGUUCCCGGGCCUUGUACACACCGCCCGUCAAGUCAUGAAAGUCGGUAACACCCGAAGCCAG